rnacentral:lncRNA from 1 species
AUUAUCUUUUGUAAGUGUGAGUGAGGGUUUAACAAAAAAUCUUUGAAACAUUCUGUCUAAAUGACCACAUCCUUUAUCCGUAGGUGGCAUGCAAGCAUUGAUAUCAUUGUCAGAUAAGCGGGAUCUAGCUUUCCUUGCAAACGGACUUCAAGCGUUAGGGUGUGUUUGCACUCUUCCAGUUGCACUUUCAUGUUUGCAAUUUACUUCUUGAUCAUUAAAAAUGUAUUUCAUGAUUCCUUAUGUUUAUUGUGUCCUUAUGCUUGUAUUGCCAUUAUAAUUCUCUGUUUUUUAGAACGAUGUGUAAUUGUUUAGGAACCUAUAAAUGAAUACCUUCCAUGCAAUAGAGUUUCAGAACAUUUGCAUCGAGGAAGAUGCCUUCAUAGACAUUUGAUAGUAGUUUAAUAAUGGUUCCCUUCCCUCCCGUCCCCCUGUUUGAAAGAUUGAUUAAUCCUACUGCUGAAUGAAUGUUGCAUCUAUAAUAUAGCCUAUUUUGUUUUAAAAUUUUAAACUACCUGUAACUUAACAAUUACCAACCAACUUUCUAUGUGAGUUAGAAUUUUGCAAACAACAGUUGAAUCAGAACAAAUUAAACAAAGAACAAAUUUAUGUGCAUAUGAUAAUAAUGAAACUCUUGUCAAUAGCCAUGGGGUACCUGAUAGUGGUCCCAGUCAAAGAAGGAUUAUAACAGAUAAAAAAGAAAUAUAUAUUCUCUUUAAGGCGAGAACAGGACCACAAUAGUUGAGGAAAUUUUCUUGCUUUUCUAUUGCUAAACUCUGGUUCCUUAAAUAGGCUAAAGCCCAGCGAAACCAACGAGUACAUGACCGAAACUUAAGCUACUAAACUUUUACUCAGUAAACAACAACGGGAAGUAAUGGAAAAACAGACUCCUAAACUAGCUCCAACGGCUAGUUGACUGGGCAACGCUGCAUGUAAACGUUUGAAGUUGUUUUAUUCCCUGCGUAAUCCAUGCAACAACUUUGACAGCUUCUUCUUGACCUCCGCAAGCCAUGCAGCUCCUUUCUCAC